rnacentral:rRNA from 1 species
CCUACGGGUAGCAGCAGUCGAGAAUCAUUCACAAUGGGGGAAACCCUGAUGGUGCGACGCCGCGUGGGGGAAUGAAGGUCUUCGGAUUGUAAACCCCUUUCAUGUGGGAGCAAAUUAAAAAGAUAGUACCCCAAGAGGAAUAGACGGCUAACUCUGUGCCAGCAGCCGCGGUAAUACAGAGGUCUCAAGCGGUGGUCGGAGUCACUGGGCGUAAAGCGUGCGUAGGCGGUUUCGUAAGUCGUGUGUGAAAGGCGCGGGCUCAACCCGCGGACGGCACAUGAUACUGGGAGAAUAGAGUAAUGGAGGGGGAAGCGGAAUUCUCGGUGUAGCAGUGAAAUGCGUAGAUAUCGAGAGGAACACUCGUGGCGAAGGCGGGUUCCUGGACAUUAACUGACGCUGAGGCACGAAGGCCAGGGGAGCGAAAGGGAUUAGAUACCCCAGUAGUC